UCUGGGCAUGGUGGCACAGGCCUGUAAUCCCAGUGGCUUGGGAGGCUGAGGCAGGAGGACUGCGAGUUCAAAGCUAGCCUUAGCAGCAAACUUAGUAAGGCUCUAAGCAACUUGGCAAGACCCUGUCUCUA
rnacentral:sRNA from 1 species